AGUGAACGCUGGCGGUAGGCCUAACACAUGCGAGUCGAACGGCAGCCCAUUAAGUGCUUGCUCUUACCGGUUGCGAGUCGCGUACGAGUGAGGCAUACGUCUGAAUCUACUUUUUCGUGGGUGGUACUGUUUGGAAACUUCCGCUAAUACCGCAUACGACCUACGGGUGAAAGCAGGGGAUCUUCGAACCUUGCGCGAGUGAAUGAGCCGAUGUCGGAUUAGCUAGUUGGUGGGGGAAAGGCCCACCAAGGCGACGAUCCGUAGCUGGUAUGAGAGGAUGGACAGGCAGACGGGAAGUGAGACAGGGUCGAGACACUGGCGGGAGGAAGCAGUGGGGAAUAUUGGAGGAUGGGGGAGAGGGUGAUACAGCAAUACCGCGUGGGUGAUGAACGAGUUAGGGUUGGAAAGUCAUGUUGGUGGGAAAGAAAUGCAGCUGGUUAAUCCGCGGCGGUUAUGACGGUACCGGAAGAAUAAGCACCGGCUAACUUCGUG
rnacentral:rRNA from 1 species